rnacentral:lncRNA from 1 species
UUCCUUAAGCCUUUCUUAAUAUAACAUCUGAAUUGGGAGAUAGCUCAUUAUGGCCUGGGUGCUGGACUUCUCAUAUUAAGUCCUGUCUUAGCCAAGGGAGAAGAAUGUAAGGAUAAGACCACCAAUAUCACCGGGGCUGUCUGAGCCUUUACCUGUGAUUUUCUACCACUCUGUGGCCUUCUGGAGCAAUGACAACCAAUCCACUUUUGUGAAC